UACGAAGGGGGCUAGCGUUGUUCGGAAUCACUGGGCGUAAAGCGCACGUAGGCGGACUCUUAAGUCGGGGGUGAAAGCCCAGGGCUCAACCCUGGAACUGCCUUCGAUACUGGGAGUCUUGAGUGUGGAAGAGGUUGGUGGAACUGCGAGUGUAGAGGUGAAAUUCGUAGAUAUUCGCAAGAACACCAGUGGCGAAGGCGGCCAACUGGUCCACUACUGACGCUGAGGUGCGAAAGCGUGGGGAGCAAACAGG
rnacentral:rRNA from 1 species